rnacentral:rRNA from 1 species
UACGUAGGGUGCGAGCGUUGUCCGGAAUUAUUGGGCGUAAAGAGCUUGUAGACGGUUUGUCGCGUCUGCUGUGAAAAUCCGGGGCUCAACCCCGGACUUGCAGUGGGUACGGGCAGACUAGAGUGUGGUAGGGGAGACUGGAAUUCCUGGUGUAGCGGUGAAAUGCGCAGAUAUCAGGAGGAACACCGAUGGCGAAGGCAGGUCUCUGGGCAUGACCUGACGCUGAGGAGCGAAAGUGUGGGGAGCGAACAGG